AAAGCGUGCGCAGGCGGUUCUAUAAGACGGAUGUGAAAUCCCCGGGCUCAACCUGGGAACUGCAUUUGUGACUGUAGAGCUGGAGUGCGGCAGAGGGGGAUGGAAUUCCGCGUGUAGCAGUGAAAUGCGUAGAUAUGCGGAGGAACACCGAUGGCGAAGGCAAUCCCCUGGGCCUGCACUGACGCUCAUGCACGAAAGCGUGGGGAGCAAACAGGAUUAGAUACCCCGGU
rnacentral:rRNA from 1 species